rnacentral:tRNA from 1 species
GGAAGGGUGGCCGAGCGGUUUAAGGCGCCGGUCUUGAAAACCGGUGUCCGACUUAUCGUCGGACCGUGGGUUCGAAUCCCACCCCUUCCG